UUAGUUUUAAAUAAAAAAAGGGACGAAUGGAUAACUAGGAUGGGCCAAAUAGGACGGAAAGACCGAGAAAGCGAGGGAGAGACUUAAAAAUCGCAUGUCCUAGCGGAAACGCGGCAAAAAGAACUGGAAAGUGAAACAUCUCAGUACCAAAGCUGGCUUAUAAGAAACUACUUAAGGCCCCAUAGCGCAGAGAAAUCAAACGAGACUCCGUAAGUAGCGGCGAGCGAAAGUGGAUUAGUCCAAUGACUUAUUUAAAGCGAGUAAAUAAUGGAAGAUAGGUGUUCACACAUCUAAGACUAAAUGUUGGUCUCAUACCGAAAAAGGGAGUACUGUAAAGGAAAGUUGAAAGAGAUUUUAAAAGAUCUUAAAAUGAGUCCCCUAAAGCAGUUGUAAUACAACGUACCUUUUGUAUAAUGGGUUCACAAGAUAAAAUUUGGCAAACUUAAGUUAAACUCGAUUUUAAUCCACUUUGUGGGCUAUAAACUAAAGUUCUAAAUAACGAAGGUGCAGCGAAAGCAAGGGAGGAGUCCCUUUUAGUUAAAUUACCCGAAACCAAGUGAUCUAACCAUAGACAGCUUAAAGGAGCGAACCGGUGGUUGUAGCAAAAACCUCGGAUGAUCUGUGGUUAGGGGUGAAAGACCAAUCGAACUUGGAGAUAGCUGGUUUUCUGCGAAAACUAUUAAAGUAGUGCGCCUACAAAAUUAGAGCCCUUAUUGGAAACACACCAAGAUAUGGGGAUUUAUUUUUUCAUGGUAAAGUAUAAUCGCUUAAAAUUAAGGGAUUAACUAUGAAUGUAAAAAAAUUGAAGCAGGUAGACAGACAGUAGGCGAUAAGGUUGAUUGUCAAAAGGGUAAGCCCUAAUCAGAAGUUAAAGUCAUAGAUUAAUUUAGAGUCCAAAAGGAUUAAAACAGUUAAGUGAAAAAGAGAUAUUGGGUUUAGACAAUAAGGAAGUAGGCUUGGAGCCAGCCACCUUUAAAAGAUGACGUAAUAGUUCACUUAAGGAAUUCUCCUAUCUCUAAAAUUAGGGUGGCUAAAUUGAAACUGAAACUCUGAAAGCGGGAUACGCUUGGUAGCAGAACGUACUGUAAAAUAGCCCAGUGAUGGCUCUAAGCAUCAGAAAUGAUAAUGUGAACAUGAGUAAAAAAUCGUCGGAUCGCUACCCUAGGUUUCCAAGCUUGAGGGCUUGGGUUAUACAGCCCCUAAGACAGCAGCCUAAAGGCCGCGUCGAUGGGACGUAGUAGUAGACGCACUUGGUGCCAGGAAAAAAUUACUAGACAUUUAACCCUCCCGUCUCCACCUCCAUAAGAGGAGAAUAAGAUAGGAGUCAUAAAAGUCACACUGUACUAAUCUAACACAAGUGGGGGAUAGUGAGGGGAAAUGUUUUCUUAAGGAACUCGGCAAAAUUUUUAACACCCCAUUAGGGGGUUGUUUUAUAAUAUAGGGCCUCGACUGUUUACCAAAAACAUAGCUCUCUGCCAAUAUGAAAAUAGAAGUAUGGAGGGUGAGGCCUGCCCAAUGGUUAUAUCUAAAAGGGUCGGUAAGGGCUGACUUCAUAAAGACAGCUCAAUGGCCGCGGUAACACUGACCGUGAUAAUGUAGCGUAAUCAAUAGCCAAUUAAUUGUUGGCCGGUAUGAAUGGCGUCACGAAGGCCCCACUGUCUUAAGGAAACUCCCAGUGAAAUUGAAUUCGUAGUGAAGAUGCUACGUCUAAAUUGUUAGACGAAGAGACCCCAUUGAGCUUUACUGGAAACUUAUACGGCUAUAAUUAAAACUUAAAUAAAUAGCUAAAUCAUGUGGUGUAAGACAUUUUGUUAGGGUCUUGAUCUUAAUCUAAGAUUUUACCGUUAUGGUGCCCACUUUUUUAUUUUAGGAAAGCUAACUCUCUUUUAUGAUUGUUUUAAUGAUGAGAGAAACAACGUAAGUUAGACAGUUUGGUUGGGGCGACCGCCUUUUAAAAAGUAACGAAGGUGAGCUUAAGGUGCAUAAUUAAUAGCAGCAACCUGACUGCAAGGGGGACACCCCAAGCAGACACCAGAAGCCGCUAAAAACUAUUGUCUGAUCCAGGUUUAGAUAUAAGUUCUUAGAGCAAAAAGGUGGGCUAUAAUGACCCGUUAAUUUAGAGUGAGAUAGUUAACGAUCAACGGAUAAAAGCUACCAUGGGGAUAACAGCGUAAUAUCGUUCAAGAGCUUUCAUCAACGACGAUGUUUGCGACCUCGAUGUUGAAUUGCAGCAUCCUAGGGUGCAGUCGCUCCUAAGGGUUGGUCUGUUCGUCCAUUAAGGCUGUACAUGAUUUGAGUUAAAAGCGUGGUGACACAGCUUGGUUUCUAUCUACAAUUUGAAGAAACAUCGAUAUAAUUAUUUUCUAGUACGAAAGGACCGAAAAAUUAAUGAUCCUCUUAUUUUCUAUAAGUUACGAUCAAUUUUGAUCCGGGCCUCAGAAAAAAUUGGGGCUUUUCAGCUAAUCCCUGACUGCCUCUAAAGUGUGAAGGACAUAUUGAAUUGUUUGGGCUUUAUUUUAGAUUGAAAACCAUGAACUACAUUUGUAGUUCUGGAAGACAUAUUUUGCUAAAUCCACUAUGUGGUUCUUCUCGUCUCCUCUUUUUGAGAUGGGAUGGGUUAAUAGGUUAAACCAACUUAGCCUUAAUGUUAACAAGGCGCUCA
rnacentral:rRNA from 1 species